CCUACGGGUGACAGCAGUGAGGAAUAUUGGUCAAUGGUCGGGAGACUGAACCAGCCAAGCCGCGUGAGGGAUGAAGGUACAGAGUAUCGUAAACCUCUUUUGUCAGGGAACAAAGGCGGGGACGUGUCCCCGGAUGAGUGUACCUGAAGAAAAAGCAUCGGCUAACUCCGUGCCACCAGCCGCGGUAAUACGGAGGAUGCGAGCGUUAUCCGGAUUUAUUGGGUUUAAGGGGUGCGCAGGCGGUCUGUUAAGUCAGCGGUAAAAGCCCGGGGCUCACCCCCGGCCCGCCGUUGAAACUGGCAGUCUCGAGUUGGAGAGAAGUAUGCGGAAUGCGCGGUGUAGCGGUGAAAUGCAUAGAUAUCGCGCAGAACUCCGAUUGCGAAGGCAGCAUGCCGGCUCCACACUGACGCUGAGGCACGAAAGCGUGGGUAUCGAACAGGAUUAGAUACCCGAGUAGUC
rnacentral:rRNA from 1 species